rnacentral:rRNA from 1 species
GACGUAGGGCGCGAGCGUUGUCCGGAUUUAUUGGGCGUAAAGAGCUCGUAGGCGGCUUGUCGCGUCGUUCGUGAAAACCUGGGGCUACCAUCGGCGUCUGCGGUCGAUACGGGCAGGCUAGAGUUCGGUAGGGGAGGACUGAAUUCAGGUGUAGCGGUGAAAUGCGUAGAUAUCUGGAGAACACCGGUGGCGAAGGCGGCAUCCUGGACCGACACUGACGCUGAGGCGCGAAAGCUAGGGUAGCAAACGGG